GGAGAGCUCACGGCUGCCGGGGUGUUUUGGCAGCGAGAACAAGCGAGCUGCGCCUGAGAACGGCCUUCAGGCCUGGCGCUAAAUAAUAAGUCGUUGUUAUGUGUUAUGUAUUUAUGUGGCAUCCACCACACGCCUCCGAGAUCCUGGGCGUUUUGAGGUUAAAAAUGUUCAGGCUUGGAGAACCUACCCCUGGAGGAGUGUUAGGGUUUCCGGGCUCGGAUGUCCGCGAGCUUGACGCCUGACCUAGUUGUGUCUGUCUGGGCGGUGACGUUUGGUCUGAGCUGACCUUUCCUCACAAUCGUGAAUUUGGGCUGUGAGGAUCAGGCCUUGUCAGAACCCGAGAUGAGAGGAGAGAGGUGCGGAGAGUCUGCGUGGGGUGGAAGUAGAAGUUAGAGUUGAAAAACCUGUCUUGCGUGGGGUAUAGAGGACCCUACUGCCCUCAAAAUAAUUAUGUUAAUCUAAAACUGUUCUAAAAUUAAAAGGUUAUUAAGAAAACGAAGUUUAGGUCGGGCGCAGUGGCUCACACCUGUAAUCCCAGUAUUUUGGGAGGCCGAGGCGGGCGGGUCACUUGAGCUCAGGAGGUAGAGACCAGCCUGGCCAACAUGGUGAAACCCGUCUCUAUUAAAACUACAAAAAUUAGCCGGGGGCGUUGGCUCACACUUGUAAUCCCCGCUACAGAUACUCGGGAAGCUGAGGCAUACGAGAAUCACUUGAACCCGGGAGGUGGAGUUUGUAGUGAGCCAAGAUCGUGCCACUGCACUCCAGCCUGGGCAACAGAGUGAGUGAGACUCGGUCUCAAAA
rnacentral:lncRNA from 10 species